GCCGCCAUACCCUAGUGGUUAAGGGGUCCGACUUAAGAUCGGAUUUGUGCUGCCAAGCGCGAUCGUGGGUUCGAUUCCCACUGGCGGCGC
rnacentral:tRNA from 1 species